rnacentral:rRNA from 1 species
AUUGAACGCUGGCGGCAGGCCUAACACAUGCAAGUCGAGCGGAUGAAGGGAGCUUGCUCCUGGAUUCAGCGGCGGACGGGUGAGUAAUGCCUAGGAAUCUGCCUGGUAGUGGGGGAUAACGUCCGGAAACGGGCGCUAAUACCGCAUACGUCCUGAGGGAGAAAGUGGGGGAUCUUCGGACCUCACGCUAUCAGAUGAGCCUAGGUCGGAUUAGCUAGUUGGUAGGGUAAAGGCCUACCAAGGCGACGAUCCGUAACUGGUCUGAGAGGAUGAUCAGUCACACUGGAACUGAGACACGGUCCAGACUCCUACGGGAGGCAGCAGUGGGGAAUAUUGGGCAAUGGGCGAAAGCCUGACGCAGCCAUGCCGCGUGAGUGAAGAAGGUCUUCGGAUUGUAAAGCACUUUAAGUUGGGAGGAAGGGCAGUGAGUGAAUACCUUGCUGUUUUGACGUUACCAACAGAAUAAGCAACGGCUAACUUCGUG